rnacentral:tRNA from 1 species
GCCUGGGUGGCUCAGUGGGCUGAGCAACUGACUUCGGCUCAGGUCACGAUCUCACAGCUCAUGGGUUCAAGCCCCAUAUUGGGCU